GUGCUUGCUUCGGCAGCUCAGAUACUAAAGUAGAACGAUACGGAGAAGAUUAGCAUGGUCCCUGCACAAGGAUGACAUGCACAUUCACGAAGCGUUCCGUAUUUUU
rnacentral:snRNA from 1 species